UACGUAGGGGGCAAGCGUUGUCCGGAAUUAUUGGGCGUAAAGGGCGCGUAGGCGGUGCGGUAAGUCACCUGUGAAAACUCUGGGCUCAACUCAGAGCCUGCAGGCGAAACUGCCGUGCUUGAGUGUGGGAGAGGUGCGUGGAAUUCCCGGUGUAGCGGUGAAAUGCGUAGAGAUCGGGAAGAACAUCGGUGGCGAAAGCGCUCUACUGGACCGCAACUGACACUCAGGGACGAAAGCUAGGGGAGCGAAUGGG
rnacentral:rRNA from 1 species